rnacentral:rRNA from 1 species
ACCUUACCUGGUCUUGACAUCCACAGAACUUGGCAGAGAUGGAUUGGUGCCUUCGGGAACUGUGAGACAGGUGCUGCAUGGCUGUCGUCAGCUCGUGUUGUGAAAUGUUGGGUUAAGUCCCGCAACGAGCGCAACCCUUAUCCUUUGUUGCCAGCGGUCCGGCCGGGAACUCAAAGGAGACUGCCAGUGAUAAACUGGAGGAAGGUGGGGAUGACGUCAAGUCAUCAUGGCCCUUACGACCAGGGCUACACACGUGCUACAAUGGCAUAUACAAAGAGAAGCGACCUCGCGAGAGCAAGCGGACCUCAUAAAGUAUGUCGUAGUCCGGAUUGGAGUCUGCAACUCGACUCCAUGAAGUCGGAAUCGCUAGUAAUCGUGGAUCAGAAUGCCACGGUGAAUACGUUCCCGGGCCUUGUACACACC